AUAUAAUUAAAUUUUAUAUGUGAUUUGUGUGUAUAUGAGCGUGAAAU
rnacentral:guide_RNA from 1 species